rnacentral:lncRNA from 1 species
GUAUAAUGUUGUUUUGUUUGUUUUUCCUUUAGUUUUGUUUUGCUUUACCCAGUAUUCCCACAAUAGUCUCCCUUUUUCCCCUAACAAUGAUGUCCCAUUUCCCAGGACAUUUUGCAGUAACUAAUUAUAUUGGACAUGAAGCAAUUUGUGUAACUGCCAAAUUUGGAAGAACUAAAAUGACCAAAAGCAGUUGAAGAUUUUCUGUGUUUUCUACGGAAUUGGAAAGAGAAGUUAAGAAAGAGACCAAGGAUUCUGGAUGGGAUGUGAUAGGAGAGCACACGGAAUGACCCCGGUCACCCACCAUAGAAAUCAGUUCAAGUACCGACUUCAGUAGUGAGCUUUUAAACUGGUCUUAAUUAGAUGACACUAGGGGGACGAAAACAGCACAGACACCAAGACCAUCAAUAGAACUGAAACAACGCAAGAUGGCAAAUCCAGAUCAAACCUAAAGCAGCGUCAGCCGAGAGGCUGAAGAUUGAAUGGGCUAUAGCGAGUGAAUUAUCCUCUCAUCCUGAGAAGUGGGCCUCCCAGGGCCGAGAUGAAGCACCGUCGCAGUGCAUUGUGGGAAAGCUGCUGCUGUCCCGGCUCCUCGUGCUCUGCAAACAGAAGACAUCGGUGUGUAGUGCUCUCUAUUUGGCACCCUGCUUGAUGAGUGCUGAAUGUACUUAAAAUCCAGCCUCCCCAAGAGGAACAAUGGGCCUAUGAACCGCAAAAAGGCCCAAGUGUGAGAUAAUGAGGGGUACCUUCAGGGCAUCCUCCUCUCCUGGUUUGUUUCCUGCUAGACAGACCACACUUGGUCAGAGAGCUGAGCAGCUUCUUAUGUGAUCUGCAGCAAUGAUUGAUUGGAACUUCGGUUUAAAAAAAACAUACUCUUUUUGGAAAGGAGAAGGCAAACGCUUUCUUAACGGCCUGCAGUAAAACACUGUUGAACAAGCCACCAUGUUGACUUUUUAUAGUUGAAAAUUAAAGGUCCACUGUAAUCAUUUUUUGCUCUUCAUUGAUUUAAGGACCCAGUCGAAUAAUAAUUUAGACUCAACUUUUCAUCUCUGUAUAGAUUCAUGAUUUGUAAGCUGUUUCUGGCAACUCUCUCUGUAAUACCAAUGAAAUUUCUUUUUAUUCAUCUCACUUUUUGGCUCGACUCCCUCAUAAUUAGCUUCUAGGUCAAAGUAACAAGUAUUUAAGACUAAAUUUCUGUGGAUAUCAACUCCUAAAGGACAUUUCACAGCACUAGCAGUAGUUACCAUUUCCUAGCAGUCUUCAUCUAUCUUAUAUUUGUGCUGAAGUAAAGUAUUUGGGCAAUAUGUUUUCUAAAUAAUUGAACAUCAGAAAGAAGUUUAUUUAUUUGUACUUUAAAUGGCUAUUGUUUUCGGGUUUCAAAAAAGGAGAUUGCUGAAAGUACAGUCUCAAAAAACAAAACAGAGGAAUGUUUAAAGAGUAGUAAAAAGUGUAAUGGUUUUGCUUGAAUUAUUAUUUAUUUA